AUAAUCAGCGUGGUGGUGGAGAUGUGUUCCAGGGGAAACUCCUUUAAAAGCUUAGCUUACAAAUUGCUGUAAUAUGC
rnacentral:tRNA from 1 species